rnacentral:rRNA from 1 species
CCUACGGGCGGCAGCAGUGAGGAAUAUUGGUCAAUGGACGAGAGUCUGAACCAGCCAAGUAGCGUGAAGGAUGACUGCCCUAUGGGUUGUAAACUUCUUUUAUAUGGGAAUAAAACGUUCCACGUGUGGGAUUUUGUAUGUACCAUAUGAAUAAGGAUCGGCUAACUCCGUGCCAGCAGCCGCGGUAAUACGGAGGCUCCGAGCGUUAUCCGGAUUUAUUGGGUUUAAAGGGAGCGUAGGUGGAUUGUUAAGUCAGUUGUGAAAGUUUGCGGCUCAACCGUAAAAUUGCAGUUGAAACUGGCAGUCUUGAGUACAGUAGAGGUGGGCGGAAUUCGUGGUGUAGCGGUGAAAUGCUUAGAUAUCACGAAGAACUCCGAUUGCGAAGGCAGUUCACUGGACUGCAACUGACACUGAGGCUCGAAAGUGUGGGUAUCAAACAGGAUUAGAUACCCGUGUAGUC